rnacentral:rRNA from 1 species
UACAGAGGUCCCGAGCGUUUGUUCGGAUUCACUGGGCGUAAAGGGUGCGUAGGUGGUGAGGUAAGUCGGAUGUGAAAUCUCCGGGCUUAACCCGGAAAUGGCAUUGGAAACUACCUUGCUAGAGGAUUUGAGGGGGGAUUGGAAUACUUGGUGUAGCAGUGAAAUGCGUAGAUAUCAAGUGGAACACCAGUGGCGAAGGCGAAUCCCUGGAAAAUACCUGACACUGAGGCACGAAAGCUAGGGGAGCAAACAGG